CAUCAUUGGUCUAGUGGUAGAAUACAACGUUGCCAUCGUUGUGACCCGAGUUCGAUUCUCGGAUGAUGCA
rnacentral:tRNA from 1 species